GCAACAUUGUGGGGAAGGAGUCUGAAAAAAGUAAGAGAUUAAGUAAGUGUUAUUAUCAGCUUCAUCCCUUGGAUUGAUAUGGGAAUAGAGUUAAAUUGAAUGUUGUUAUCA
rfam:Spinacia oleracea cultivar SynViroflay scaffold5404.con0005.1, whole genome shotgun sequence.